rnacentral:rRNA from 1 species
GACAGAGGGUGCAAACGUUGUUCGGAAUUACUGGGCGUAAAGCGCGUGUAGGCGGCUAUGUAAGUCGGGCGUGAAAUCCCACGGCUCAACCGUGGAAGUGCACCCGAAACUGCGUAGCUAGAGUCCUGGAGAGGAAGGUGGAAUGCUUGGUGUAGAGGUGAAAUUCGUAGAUAUCAAGCGGAACACCGGUGGCGAAGGCGGCCUUCUGGACAGUGACUGACGCUGAGACGCGAAAGCGUGGGGAGCAAACAGGG